AUACGUAGGUGACAAGCGUUAUCCGGAUUUACUGGGCGUAAAGGGCGUGUAGGCGGUCUUGCAAGUCAGAAGUGAAAUUCCUGAGCUCAACUCGGGCGCUGCUUCUGAAACUGCAGGACUUGAGUGCUGGAGGGGAUAGCGGAAUUCCUAGUGGAGCGGUAAAAUGCGCAGAUAUUAGGAAGAACACCGGUGGCGAAGGCGGCUAUCUGGACAGUAACUGACGCUGCGGCGCGAAAGCGGGGGGAGCAAAAAGGAUUAGAUGCCGUGGUAGUCCACGCUGUAAACGAUGAAUACUAGGUGUAGGGGGUAUCGACUCCCUCUGUGCCGCAGUUAACACAAUAAGUAUUCCGCCUGGGGAGUACGGCCGCAAGGUUGAAACUCAAAUGAAUUGACGGGG
rnacentral:rRNA from 1 species